GCAGCCGCGGUAAUUCCAGCUCCAAUAGCGUAUAUUAAAGUUGUUGCAGUUAAAAAGCUCGUAGUUGAAUUUCGGGAUUUAUCCGUUGGUCGGGCUUUUGGGUCUGUACUGGCGUGAUGGAUUUCUACCUUCUGAAUAACCGGCAUGUCAUUAAUUUGGUGCGCCGGGGAAGCAGGACUGUUACCUUGAAAAAAUUAGAGUGCUUAAAGCAGGCUAUUGCCUGAAUACAUUAGCAUGGAAUAAUGAAAUAGGACGGCAUGGUUCUAUUUUGUUGGUUUCUAGGAUCACCGUAAUGAUUAAUAGGGAUAGUUGGGGGCAUUAGUAUUCAAUUGUCAGAGGUGAAAUUCUUGGAUUUAUUGAAGACUAACUUCUGCGAAAGCAUUUGCCAAGGAUGUUUUCAUUAAUCAAGAACGAAAGUUAGGGGAUCGAAGACGAUCAGAUACCGUCGUAGUCUUAACCAUAAACUAUGCCGACUAGGGAUCGGACGAUGUUAAUUUUUUAAUGACUCGUUCGGCGCCUUACG
rnacentral:rRNA from 1 species